GGUAAAAUGGCUGAGGAUAAGCGUUGAACUGUAAAUUCAAAGACAGAGAUGAAUCUCUUUUUACCA
rnacentral:tRNA from 1 species